AGAGUUUGAUCCUGGCUCAGAUUGAACGUUGGCGGCACGCCUUAUACAUGCAAGUCGAACGAGAAAGUACCUUCGGGUGCGAGUACAGUGGCGGACGGGUGAGUAACGCGUAGGAAUCUACCUUCAGGUGGGGGACAACUCGGGGAAACUCGAGCUAAUACCGCAUAAUACCUAAGGGUCAAAGUGGGGGAUCUUCGGACCUCACGCCAGAAGAGGAGCCUGCGUUAGAUUAGCUUGUUGGUGGGGUAAUGGCCUACCAAGGCGACGAUCUAUAGCUGGUCUGAGAGGACGAUCAGCCACACUGGAACUGAGACACGGUCCAGACUCCUACGGGAGGCAGCAGUAGGGAAUCUUGGUCAAUGGGCGCAAGCCUGAACCAGCGAUGCCGCGUGUGCGAAGAAGGCCCUAGGGUUGUAAAGCACUUUCAGUCGCGAAGAAAAGCUUAAGGUUAAUAACCUUGAGUCUUGACGUUAACGACAGAAGAAGGUCCGGCUAACUCCGUGCCAGCAGCCGCGGUAAUACGGAGGGAUCGAACGUUAAUCGGAAUUACUGGGCGUAAAGCGCGCGUAGGCGGCUUGUUAAGUGGGAUGUGAAAGCCCCGGGCUUAACCUGGGAACUGCAUUCCAAACUGGCAAGCUAGAGUAUGGUAGAGGGAGGUAGAAUUUCCUGUGUAGCGGUGAAAUGCGUAGAUAUAGGAAGGAAUACCGAUGGCGAAUGCAGCCUCCUGGACCAAUACUGACGCUGAGGUGCGAAAGCGUGUGGAGCAAACAGGAUUAGAUACCCUGGUAGUCCACGCCGUAAACGAUGAGAACUAGCCGUCGGGACCCAUGAGGUCUUUGUGGCCGC
rnacentral:rRNA from 1 species